rnacentral:lncRNA from 1 species
ACAGGGGUGAUGUUGUGCCGAAGGAUGUGAAUGCUGCAGUGGCGACCAUCAAGACCAAGAGAACCAUCCAGUUUGUGGAUUGGUGCCCCACUGGGUUCAAGUGUGGUAUCAAUUACCAACCUCCAACUGUUGUUCCCGGAGGUGACCUUGCGAAGGUCCAGCGGGCUGUGUGCAUGAUUUCUAACUCAACCAGUGUGGCUGAAGUGUUCUCAAGGAUUGAUCAUAAGUUUGAUCUGAUGUAUGCGAAGAGGGCAUUCGUCCACUGGUAUGUGGGUGAAGGUAUGGAAGAGGGUGAGUUCUCAGAGGCUCGUGAGGACCUUGCUGCUCUUGAGAAAGAUUACGAGGAGGUUGGCGCUGAGUCUGGCGAUGGAGAAGAUGUUGACGGAGAUGAGGAAUAUUAGAAUCUGGAAUAUCUGUCUGAUAUCAUCAUGUGUUUCAUGUU